rnacentral:rRNA from 1 species
GACGAACGCUGGCGGCGUGCCUAAUACAUGCAAGUAGGACGCAGUUGCGAACGGGUGAGUAACGCGUAGGUAACUACCUAUUAGAGGGGGAUAACUAUUGGAAACGAUAGCUAAUACCGCAUACUAGUAGAUGGCCCUGCGUUGUAUUAGCUAGUAGCUAGGGUAAUGGCCUACCUAGGCAACGAUACAUAAUCGACCUUGGAGGGUGAACGGCCAAACUAGGAAAGGGACACGGCCCAGACUCCUACGGGAGGCAGCAGUAGGGAAUCUUCGGCAAUGGGGGGAAGCCUGACCGAGCAACGCCGCGUGAGUGAAGAAGGUUUUCGGAGCGUAAAGCUCUGUUGUUAAGGAAGCGGUACUUGACCAAAAAGCGACGGCUAACUACGUGCCAGCCGCCGCGGUAAUAC